GACGAACGCUGGCGGCGUGCCUAACACAUGCAAGUCAACUUGAAGGAAGGAGCAAUCUGACCUGAUGGUGGCGCAAGGGUGCGUAACGCGUAAGUAACUUGCCCCAAGGUAAGGAAUAACGUCGAGAAAUCGGCGCUAAUACCUCAUAAUGCAGCGGAUCCGCAUGGAUAUGUUGUUAAAGGUUUACCGCCUUGGGAUAGGCUUGCGUCUGAUUAGCUAGUUGGUGUGGUAAUGGCGCACCAAGGCUACGAUCAGUAACUGGUCUGAGAGGAUGAUCAGUCACACUGGAACUGAGACACGGUCCAGACUCCUACGGGAGCAGCAGUGAGGAAUAUUGGGCAAUGCACGAAAGCGUGACCCAGCAACGCCGCGUGGAGGAU
rnacentral:rRNA from 1 species